rnacentral:lncRNA from 1 species
CCUUCCUGUGCAGGUGGUGGUGCCCUCUGCGCCUUCACUGGGGCCCAGCCAAGUAACUGAAUCCAGCCAGGAGCAAGGGCAGACGCUGGCACAGGUCCUGCCACUGUCCCCAACCUGGGUUUCAACACAGCUGAGGCCUGGCAUAGUCUUUCUGGGCGCCUCUGGCUGGCUCGGUCUGAAAGGCGCGGCCAGGUCACAGUCGGCACCAGAAGUUUGGCAGAUCUCAGUGAGGCGUUAGUUUGCAUUUCCUUGUGACGG